AGCAGCGUUGCUCAGUUGCAAGAGCCCCAACUUGGGAGUCUGAGGUUGUGGGUUCUAAUCCCGCCUCUGCCA
rnacentral:tRNA from 1 species